rnacentral:sRNA from 1 species
AUGACCUCUGGAAGAGGAGUCGGGUGCUCUUAACCGCUGAGCCAUCUCUCCAGCCCCCUUUCUUCAUUCUUCACCCUCACCAAGAACCUAAUCACACUAUAAACCCCUCUGAGCUAUUUGCUUCAUAUAUAUUUGAUUAUCACAUUGACCCCCAUGAGGUGGUCACUACUACCCUCAUUUAAAGAUAGAUAAACUAAGGCUCAGAAUGGUCAGGUAACUUGUCCAGUAUCACACAGAUCAGAAAUAGACCAAGGGACAUUGGAACAUAGAAGUAUAACUGGCCUGGAAGACAUAAAGGCACUCUAAAGAGACAUCUGUCAGUGCAUCAGAAACUGAAACCAAGGGCCCCGAAGAAAUGAGGUCUUCCAAGAGUGCCAGAGGAGGGGAACUGUGGUACGGUCUUUCCCUAAUAAAUAAACAUUACCAUUACAGGGACCAAUCACUGCGCCAGUAGGCGGGACUUCCAGGUCAGGAAGAGGAAGAGGGAAGGCAGGAGAAAAAACUUCCUUUUGGAGAGCAAGAGCAAGGGGGCAGAUAGAAUGUAGGAAGCCAAAGGCUGUUACUCCGAGUGGUGGAACCACCAGAGGAUUUCUAAUACAGAAUAGUUUAUAAAAUUAGGAUGCUAGAUUCUGCGCCCAGUGAUUGUGUUAACCUGUUGAUUCUAAAACAAGAUUGUGUGGUGUUUUCCUUCACACGCUGACUCAACUGGGUUCCAGAGAAGGUUUGACUUUUUUACUGGGCUUGCUGAGGACAGGCAGCUGGACCUGGCUUGAGGCACAAGUUGUGACCUCUAAGUUUGACACUAGAGUGCAGAUCAGAUUCAAGCAGGAUAUGGCUGCUAAAUCCCCGGGUAUGUUUAUCUGUGGGUGGAUGAGUGGAUGAACAGAUGGAUGUGUGGGUAGAUGGUUGGAUAGAUGGGUAGGUGGAUGACUCCUUUCCGGGCUACUCUAGAACCUCAGAAUCCAGCCCAGAGGGGCACAGGGUGGAAGGUCAGCAGCUUUUCUCCAUCAGUGCCAGGGGGUGCUGUGCUCCCAUCCCACUUCCCAUCCCCUUCCAGAAGAAGGGAACAGUGGCCAGGGAGGGAUCCUGAGGCCACUCUCUCCCCAACUGUUUCUACCCAGGGAGACAGAGCUGCUCUGGGCUCUGCCCCUUCUAGAGAGGGAAGCAAACCUCCCUUGGCCCCCGAGCCUGCAGUGAAGCCACUGAGAUUAGCCUACUUAGUGAAAGCAGACGCACAGAGCAAAACCUCCGUGCCUAGCAGCUCCCGCUCGUGUACAGGAGAUGAAGCAAGAGCCUGUGUUUCCUCACGGGAGGGAGAUGUUGUAUGCUCCUGCCUAGGAUGCCAUGGGACAGAGGAUCUCAAUACAGAGCAAUGGCUGGAACCUGGCUUAUGAAACACUGGAGUAGUCCCCAGUCUGGUGGGUGCAGGGUCUAGCCCACAGAGACUCUCAUCCCCCAUAAUCCAGCCUUUCCCCUGAUAUCAGAAGAUUAUGCAGGUCCGAUAUUGUUUGCAUAUACUCUGAUUGGUCCCCACAAACCCACGCAGGAGUGUCAUCCUCAAAGCCACGGUUAAGGGUGGGGAAAAAAGUGGAAACUGAUUUAGAGGUGGUAACGUUGGGGUGUACUUAGGUUCAGAUAUUAAUGUAGAGAGCCCAGUAAUUAAGUCUCGGACAGAGACUAGACAGACUCUUGCAUGUAAUGCUCUGUGGUGAAACUGCCAAAGGAACUGAAGACAUGCUUUCCACACCCGUGCCUCCCUGUUUGGACGUUCAGCCUCCAAACCGGUUAACUACAUAGAUUAAUUUAUAAAGUUACCCUGCCUUGUGUAUUUCAUUACGAUAACAACCAAGAGAAAACCUAAUCAAGACUCUGCCCACAAAAUGAAUUACUGGGGUGGGGAGCUCGCAAGGGGGCCAAGUAUGAAGCAGAGCACAGUGCUUCCCACAGAGCUCCAGGCUCUGCUUAGGAGAGAAGCAAAGCCCUGUUCUCCUCUUACCCAGGGGAAGCUCCUGAGUUUUGGCAAGCUUUGGUAGAGGGAUGGAAGCUAUUUGGACCACAUGGGAACAGUUUAUCAGAAAGCUUGGCAAUCUCACAGGCUGUGGUUCAGGGCAGCAUUUCUCAUAGUGCAUUGCUCUCUGGGGCCCCUGCAUUGACACUGAGGAACCAGCUUUAUCCCUGAGAAGAGUGAGCUGCCUCUCCACACUGCUUUCUCUGGGCCUGUUCAGGUAGGUAGUCCUAAGCCAGGUUCCCAAAGCCACUGACUCUUAAGAAAUGGAUGUCCCCAGAAAGGACAGUGAGAGGUCAGCUUGGAGGUCAGGGGUGAUAGUCGGUUCGGCCUUAUGUACCAAGAUUCCAAGUUUCUGGCCCAAGGUCUGCAAUGCUGGCUCAGGCUACACUGGCACAAAGGAGGGCUUUCACCUUGCAUCCCUAACUUCUCAUAUCUCUCCCAACAGCAUUGGAAGGACAGGGAAAGGCAUCAAGAGGCCCAUGCUGGAGGAGACAGUACUAUGGCCAGAAGCAGGACAUAGCAGUCACCAUCUCUCUCCCAGAGAAGCUUGUGGCUUCAGGAGGGUUUGCUCAGCAGAAUGCUAAGUCCUCUGUAAGUGGGUUCCUUUCCUCUCUCUUCGAGACACAUCUGUUCUCCACAAGCAUGUGGCCAAACGACCACCAGUGGGUACAAGGGAGUGGGGAAGCAAGCUGUUUAGCCUGGAGUGUGGAGUUAUAACAGCAUGUCCACAGCAGCCUCCAGAAGCGGGGGGGCUGCAGAAGGUGCCCAGCAGGCUUGCAAUAACUGAGCAUCCGUAGAGCUAAUGAGAUGUGCCUUUCCCAGGACACCAGGUCUCACUGCUGGCUUUCCCCUUCCCAAGCCCCUAGCAGGGAGAACAAAGCCACAGCCGUGGGGCCUGUGGCUGUCGGUGCCUCAUGAAAACAUAGGCGGCAGCUGGCCCUGACCGAAGGAUCUCUAUGGAAAAUGGAAACAGAACCUCAGACUCUGGCCAGGCUGGUGAAUCAAACCUUCCAUUUCAAUGAGAUGAAGUGCUAAUUGGUGUAUUGUGAACCAAGGACUCAUCAGAUGGAGAAAGAUGUGAUUUACAUGGCCGCCUGCAUCCAGGCACUGGCCUUCAGACUAACAGG